CCUACGGGACGCAGCAGUGAGGAAUAUUGGUCAAUGGCCGAGAGGCUGAACCAGCCAAGUCGCGUGAGGGAAGACGGCCCUACGGGAUGUAAACCCCUUUUGUCGGGGAGCAAAGCGAGUCACGUGUGACUCAUUGAGAGUACCCGAAGAAAAAGCAUCGGCUAACUCCGUGCCAGCAGCCCCGGUAAUACGGAGGAUGCGAGCGUUAUCCGGAUUUUUUUGGUUUAAAGGGUGCGCAGGCGGAGCUGCAAGUCAGCGGUGAAAU
rnacentral:rRNA from 1 species